AGCUUUACGCAGUGGCAGUAUCGUAGCCAAUGAGGUUUAUCCGAGGCGCGAUUAUUGCUAAUUGAAAAGCUUGCCUGCAUAUUUCAUUGACUGUGCAUAUAUUUGAUAGAAACAUUAAAUUUUAUCACAAAA
ensembl:snRNA U4 U4 spliceosomal RNA